AUGGGAAGAUCUAGGAUAGGCGUACAACGUCCUGGAGAGAGCAAUGUGCAUGGACCAGGCCACGUGGAUUGUCCAAGGUCUUCUUCGGCUAAUGAUACCUCGAUCCCUAAGCCUUCGGAGUAUCUUUUUUAUAGGCGCCUCUAUCUGUAUGGGGAAUUCGCUGCUGAUAGAUCCCGCCUUGUGUCCUCCUCCUUCCCCCGCCGCCUUCCGACCCGCGGGAGUAUACAAUGA